CUCUGCAGAAAGUCCACCUUUGUGAGGUCACUAUGAAACUCUGACCCAGUCCUAGACAGAGGAACAGAGGGACACCAUCAUCACACCAGCAGCAGCGCACCAGGACUCAGUCAUAUUCAACAUAAAAGGGGCUGGCUUCCGGUGUCCCUGCCAAGAUGGUGGUCCAGGAGACCGUAUGCUCUGGGGCUCAGCUGGUCACGACUUCCUUUGGGCAACAGCACAGCAAGCUGAGGCAUCUUGCUAGGAUUCUUGGAGUCUCAAGAAGUAACCUACACCUAUGCCACGCACUGCAGAGGUGGAAACUGAGGCUUAGUGUGGACAAGCAGCUUGCACCAACGGUCACACUGCAGAGCGAGAGGACCAACUCACACUGUCGGACUCUGGAGUCUGAGGUCUCUACCAGUAACCAGGGGAGAUUUCAGACACUGGCAUGGCAUCACCAUCUUAAACUGACUACCGCAGAGCUCCCCAGGCAACAGGCUGGAAGCUGCACCUGCAUGUGUGAACAUUCGGUGACUUUCACCUGCUACGUCAAACGAGCAUCCGGACACCUCUGUGUAAACAGCAACUGGGGCACCGGUCCAACAGUUUCAACAAUCCAUUUCCCAAUGGGCAACAUGCAAAUAAAAAUAUGCAAACUCACAGAAAACAAAUCAAGAGACUGA
rnacentral:lncRNA from 1 species